rnacentral:rRNA from 1 species
UACGUAGGGGGCAAGCGUUGUCCGGAAUCAUUGGGCGUAAAGAGCGUGUAGGCGGCCCGAUAAGUCCGCUGUGAAAGUCCAGGGCUCAACCCUGGAAUGCCAGUGGAAACUGUCGGGCUAGAGUCCGGAAGAGGCGAGUGGAAUUCCUGGUGUAGCGGUGAAAUGCGCAGAUAUCAGGAAGAACACCCGUGGCGAAGGCGGCUCUCUGGGACGGUACUGACGCUGAGACGCGAAAGCGUGGGGAGCGAACAGG